rnacentral:rRNA from 2 species
CCUGGUAAUGAUGGCAGAGAGGUCACACCCGUUCCCAUACCGAACACGGAAGUUAAGCUCUCUAGCGCCGAUGGUAGUUGGGACCUUGUCCCUGUGAGAGUAGGACGUUGCCAGGC